GUUCUCCCCAUCAGCAGCACAUAUAAUAAAAUUGAAACAUGACAGAGAAGAUUAGCAUGGCUCCUGUGCAAGGAUGACACGCAUAUUUGUGAAGCUUUACAUCUUAAA
ensembl:snRNA U6 U6 spliceosomal RNA